rnacentral:rRNA from 1 species
AACGAACGCUGGCGGCAUGCCUAACACAUGCAAGUCGAACGAGACCUUCGGGUCUAGUGGCGCACGGGUGCGUAACGCGUGGGAACCUGCCUUUAGGUUCGGAAUAACUCAGAGAAAUUUGAGCUAAUACCGAUGAUGUCUUCGGACCAAAGAUUUAUCGCCUUUAGAUGGGCCCGCGUGGGAUUAGCUAGUUGGUGGGGUAAAGGCCUACCAAGGCGACGAUCCAUAGCUGGUCUGAGAGGAUGAUCAGCCACACUGGGACUGAGACACGGCCCAGACUCCUACGGGAGGCAGCAGUGGGGAAUAUUGUACAAUGGGCGAAAGCCUGAUCCAGCAAUGCCGCGUGAGUGAUGAAGGCCUUAGGGUUGUAAAGCUCUUUUACCCGAGAUGAUAAUGACAGUAUCGGGAGAAUAAGCUCCGGCUAACUCCGUG